UGUGUGUUCUGAUAAAAAUAAAUAAAUACAAUCAUACAAUAAGAUAAUUCAAGAUGAACGCAAAUCAAAAGUACAUCGCUUAUUUACUUGAAGGAAUAAUUUUUUAAAGAACUAGUGCAAGUAGUUUUGAAAUAUAAAUUACUUUACCAAUUGAACAUCUUCAAUCAAAAUCUAUCUAUCUAUCGAACUUAUGCGCCGUCAUGUAAUCGACUAUCUAAAAUCGAUUUACAAUUUGGUGGCAAACAACAAAAAUCCUCAAAUGGAGCAUAUUGACGUGAAGAAUUUAAGAACGAGCGAUUUCUUUUUGCCAGAAUUGGUACAACUGGUCUUUAAUAAAUAUAAAAAAACAGAGGACAAUACACUCUCCACAGGUGAAAGAGCUCAAUUAUUUGCCGAACUUACUGCUUUAUUAGGAGAGGAUCUAUUGGAACGCACACUCCGAUUGCUCGAUGAAUGGUCAUUUAUUACAUACUACACUCCAGAUCGCUGUCGCAAAAUCGUUGAAUUAGUUAGCAAGCGAAACACAGCACAUGUGUUUCGCAUUCUGCCGGGCAUUAAUUAUUGCAAGUGUCCCUACUUCCAGGACUUUGUUCUUCAAUUGCGGGUUAAUACAGAAUCGGGCAGUGAGUACGUUUCUUUCACCUGUGAGCAUGUGCUGGCCCAGCGUCUGCAUCAGUUAUUUAAUUCACCGUCACGAAAGCAGAUCUUAACGUUGGAGCAGUUUAAAUAUUUUCAUGAAGACAUAUAUGUGGAUUAAUGCAGCAUUCGAAAGUGCUUUACGCGAAGGGAAUUAUUAAAAAUCGUAAAAUGCUGACACAAUCGCAGUAUGAUGAUUACAAAUUCGUAUGUCGGCUCGAUCACAUCAAAACCUUCCACGCGGCCAUCAAAUCUAUUUGCUUCAGUGAUUUCGGUACGUUGCAAGCUAGUGAAGAAGGAUUGCUUAUCACUGUGGAGCAGGGCAAAUCCAUUCAGGCAACAAUAUUUAUUUCUCCCUCAUUUUUUGCGGAAUAUCACAUUCAAGAUUCCCA